GCAGUCGAGCGAUGCGGUGCUUCUUCGGAAGCAUCAAUUAGCGGCGGACGGGUGAGUAACACGUGGGUAACCUGCCUCAAAGAGGGGAAUAGCCUCCCGAAAGGGAGAUUAAUACCGCAUAAUAUGUUUUGGUCGCAUGAUCAAAAUAUCAAAGGAUUUUUCUUCGGAAAUUUCCACUUUGAGAUGGACCCGCGGCGCAUUAGCUAGUUGGUGAGGUAACGGCUCACCAAGGCGACGAUGCGUAGCCGACCUGAGAGGGUGAUCGGCCACAUUGGAACUGAGACACGGUCCAGACUCCUACGGGAGGCAGCAGUGGGGAAUAUUGCGCAAUGGGGGAAACCCUGACGCAGCAACGCCGCGUGAAUGAUGAAGGCCUUCGGGUUGUAAAGUUCUGUCUUCUGGGACGAUAAUGACGGUACCAGAGGAGGAAGCCACGGCUAACUACGUGCCAGCAGCCGCGGUAAUACGUAGGUGGCAAGCGUUGUCCGGAUUUACUGGGCGUAAAGGAUGUGUAGGCGGACAUUUAAGUCAGAUGUGAAAUACCCGAGCUUAACUUGGGUGCUGCAUUUGAAACUGGGUGUCUAGAGUGCAGGAGAGGUAAGUGGAAUUCCUAGUGUAGCGGUGAAAUGCGUAGAGAUUAGGAAGAACACCAGUGGCGAAGGCGACUUACUGGACUGUAACUGACGCUGAGGCAUGAAAGCGUGGGGAGCAAACAGGAUUAGAUACCCUGGUAGAAUCGAAUUCCCGCGGCC
rnacentral:rRNA from 1 species